rnacentral:tRNA from 1 species
GGGGCUGUGGCCCAAUGGCAGAGCGUUCGCUUUUCAUGCAGAGGGUCCCAGGUUCAAGCCCCAACAGCUCCU